AAUAAGUUAAUUAAGAGCGUAAGGUGGAUGCCUUGGCUCUCAGAGGCGAUGAAGGACGUGAUAAGCUGCGAUAAGCUACGGGGAUUGGCACACACAAUUUGAUCCGUAGAUUUCCGAAUGGGGAAACCCACUAUAUUGAAGAUAUAGUAUCCGUUAAGGAAGCAAACCCAGGGAACUGAAACAUCUAAGUACCUGGAGGAAUAGAAAACAAAAGUGAUUCCGCUAGUAGUGGCGAGCGAACGCGGAACAGCCCAAACCAAAAUUGUUUCGGCAAUUUUGGGGUUGUAGGACCACGAUAUUGAAUGUUUAAUGAAUUAGAAUUCUUUGGAAAAAGAAACCAUAGAGGGUGAUAGUCCCGUAUAA
rnacentral:rRNA from 1 species